UACGUAGGGGGCAAGCGUUGUCCGGAUUCAUUGGGCGUAAAGCGUGCGCAGGCGGUGAUGUAAGACAGAUGUGAAAUCCCCGGGCUCAACCUGGGAACUGCAUUUGUGACUGCAUCGCUGGAGUGCGGCAGAGGGGAUGGAAUUCCGGCGUGUAGCAGUGAAUGCGUAGAUAUGCGGAGGAACACCGAUGGCGAAGGCAAUCCCCUGGGCCUGCACUGACGCUCAUGCACGAAAGCGUGGGGAGCAAACAGG
rnacentral:rRNA from 1 species